AGAGAGUUGAAGUUUGUUGGCUGUGCUGUGAAAAAGGAGUCAGUGCUGUGAGGAGUUGCACGAGAGAAAUCACCCAGAAGAGCAGAACUAAGAAGCUGCAAGUCCCAGGAUGGCCAUGGGAGGCUGAAGAGCUGCAGUACACACCAGUGUAAAUACAGCAGCAGUCACCUGCAAGAUUGACAGAGACAUGCUUGUGCUGCAGCCUUGGACCUGUGCCCUUGACUGCUUGCAAGGCCCAUGAUCCUCCUGCACCCAAGAUUUGGAGAUUUGGAAGAGGUUCGUCCUUUCUGCAUCAAACCAUGACAAGAAGGAAAACCAAGUAUUUGGAAAAAACAAGUUAAACAGAAAAAUAUUCUUACACAACUCGUGAAGUCCACCAAAAAGUGAUAUCAAGUGUGGAAAAUACUCCAUAAAUUGCCAGCUUCAGGAAUUGUAACUGUCUUUUGUAAUUUGAUCGCCUUGAUACAUGUUUUACCUUUUCUCAGUUCUGCAAUUAAAUAUCAGCAAUAUUUUCA